rnacentral:rRNA from 1 species
GAUCAUGCUCAGGACGAACGCUGGCGGCGUGCUUAACACAUGCAAGUCGAACGAGAAUCUGCGGAACGAGGAUUCGUCCAAGUGAAGCAGAGGACAGUGGCGGACGGGUGAGUAACACGUGAGGAACCUGCCUUUCAGAGGGGGACAACAGUUGGAAACGACUGCUAAUACCGCAUAACACAUGGGUGUCGCAUGGCACUGAUGUCAAAGAUUUAUCGCUGAAAGA